rnacentral:misc_RNA from 1 species
AAGUCGUAACAAGGUUUCCGUAGGUGAACCUGCGGAAGGAUCAUUAGUGAAAUAAGAAGACCCCUUGCUGGGCUUCAUACCUUCACAUCCAAACACUGUGCAACGUCUGAGGUGAACGUACCCUGCCUGGGUAUCUACUAGCCACAGUUCUUUUUUUUUACCCAUUCUCAAACACAAGUCAAUGUAUGUGAACAUAUUACAAACAAGUAGAACUUUCAACAACGGAUCUCUUGGCUCCC